AGGUGUUAAAAAUUGACAAUGCAAAUGAGCUAUCAAAUUUUUGUUCCAGAAGAGUAUAGCUUACAGCCAUGUCAGAAGGCUUUACUGUAUUAAGUGUGCUAAAUGUGCUGAAGGAUGUGUCUGGCAGCAGUUCUUUGAAAACAAGCACUUCAAUAUAAGUUGUUCAAUUCCUUUAAUGUAAACAAAUGGUAGAAGUGUGCAUAAUAUUACAAUGUUAAUGUACGGUAUAAAUAAUUAUUUUGUUGUAGUAUAUAUCAAUUUUGAACAAAUUCAUGUAAGACUCAUUUUUUCUUCUAUUUAUACAUUAGUAAUGAAUAGAUUUUCUUGUCGUUUA